rnacentral:rRNA from 1 species
UACGGAGGGUGCAAGCGUUAUCCGGAUUCACUGGGUUUAAAGGGUGCGUAGGAGGGCAGGUAAGUCAGUGGUGAAAUCUCCAAGCUUAACUUGGAAACUGCCGUUGAUACUAUCUGUCUUGAAUAUUGUGGAGGUGAGCGGAAUAUGUCAUGUAGCGGUGAAGUGCUUAGAUAUGACAUAGAACACCAAUUGCGAAGGCAGCUCACUACUCAAUCAUUGACUCUGAGGCACGAAAGCGUGGGGAUCAAACAGG